rnacentral:rRNA from 1 species
UUUAACAAAAACAUGUCCUUUUGAGUUUAAUUUAAGGUCGGGCCUGCCCCCUGAUGAAUAUUAAAGGGCCGCGGUAUUCUGACCGUGCAAAGGUAGCAUAAUCAUUAGUCUUUUAAUUGAAGGCUGGAAUGAAUGGUUUGACGAAAUAUUAACUGUCUCUUUAUAAUUAAUAAAAUUUAACUUCUGAGUUAAAAGGCUUAGAUAAAUAUAAAAGACGAGAAGACCCUAUAGAUCUUUAUACAUGGAUAUAUUGAUUUUGUUUAGAUGUAAUUUUAAUGAAUAUAUUAUUGUAUUUUGUUGGGGUGACAUGAAGAUAAAAUUAACUCUUCAUUAUUAAUACAUUGAUUUAUGUAUAAUUGAUCCGUUAUUAACGAUUAUAAGAUAAAGUUACCUUAGGGAUAACAGCGUAAUUUUUUUUGAGAGUUCUUAUCGACAAAAAAGAUUGCGACCUCGA